CAGAACCUUGGCCUGUGCCCCAGGGCGGACAGCCCCAGGCUGCCCGCCUCCUCCCUGCAGGUGCCGAGCCAUGGUUCCCACUGAGAACCUCUCCCGCCCCGCCCAUGUGAAGGCUCACGGAGGUUACUGGGACACACACACCCUGAGGAACAUGGCUCAUGUUCUGUGGACCAGUUCAGGAGCCAAAACCCUGUCUCUCUUUGCCUCUGCUGCUUCCCCCUCUCUCUCUCUUUUCUCUCUCUCUCCCCUCUCUCCCCCUCUGUCUCUCUCCCUUUCCCUCUCCCUCCUGUCUCUCUUCCCUCCCUGGUGGUCAACUCCCUCCCCUGUCGACCCGCAGCCCGCUGUCCCUGUUCUGCUCCAUCUGCAGCGUCUCCCAUGCUUCCCACAUGCCGAUCCGCUCACAGGCCAGCAGCCUGUGUGACCCCAGCUGCAACGCGGCUCCUCUGCCCGGCCUUCCUGGUCUCCUGGAAAUACUUGCCCCUCACACACAGGGCUCCCUAUUGUAUGUGUGGGUGGGAGCCACCUCCUGAGAGAGGCGGUGCAGUGACAGCCCCAUCCUCAGCAGAGGCCUGGGGCUGCCAUGGCUCAGCACCCUGCCCACUUGAGGCAGAGCCCAGUGUGCUGAGUGCGAUUUCUACUUAGAAUAGCCUCUUGCCUCACACCCAGAGCUCACAGCUCCUCCAACACAUCAAGACAGAGAAGAGUGUGAAUUCACCCAGGACUGGAGGCAAAUUCAGUAAGACUGAUUAUAGCAGCCCAAGAGCUAAAUCUCUCAAGCAACCUAUGUGUCCAUCGACAGAUGAAUGAAUUUCAGAAAUGUGGCAGAUACACACAGUGGAGUGCUACUCUGCCAUAAGGAAGGAUAAAGGAGUCAUUUGCGGAGAAGAGGAUGCCUUGUGCAAACAUAAUGUUAAGUGAAAUAAAUCAGACACUUGAGCUUAAAUAUCACCUGGUUUCUCUUACACGAGAAACCCAAAGUAUAAAGGACAAAAUAACAUAUAGAUAAUAGGAAGUAGGGAGAUCUUUUUGAAAUGGGAAGAGGAACAAGACAUGGAG
rnacentral:lncRNA from 1 species